rnacentral:rRNA from 1 species
CUUGCUACAGGCUUAACACAUGCAAGUCGAGGGGCAGCAUCAUCAAAGCUUGCUUUGAUGGAUGGCGACCGGCGCACGGGUGAGUAACACGUAUCCAACCUGCCGACAACACUGGGAUAGCCUUUCGAAAGAAAGAUUAAUACCGGAUGGUAUAGUUUUCCCGCAUGGGAUAAUUAUUAAAGAAUUUCGGUUGUCGAUGGGGAUGCGUUCCAUUAGGCAGUUGGCGGGGUAACGGCCCACCAAACCUACGAUGGAUAGGGGUUCUGAGAGGAAGGUCCCCCACAUUGGAACUGAGACACGGUCCAAACUCCUACGGGAGGCAGCAGUGAGGAAUAUUGGUCAAUGGACGAGAGUCUGAACCAGCCAAGUAGCGUGAAGGAUGACUGCCCUAUGGGUUGUAAACUUCUUUUAUACGGGAAUAAAGUUAGCCACGUGUGGUUUUUUUGUAUGUACCGUAUGAAUAAGGAUCGGCUAACUCCGUGCCAGCAGCCGCGGUAAUACGGAGGAUCCGAGCGUUAUCCGGAUUUAUUGGGUUUAAAGGGAGCGUAGGCGGGUUGUUAAGUCAGUUGUGAAAGUUUGCGGCUCAACCGUAAAAUUGCAGUUGAUACUGGCGACCUUGAGUGCAACAGAGGUAGGCGGAAUUCGUGGUGUAGCGGUGAAAUGCUUAGAUAUCACGAAGAACUCCGAUUGCGAAGGCAGCUUACUGGAUUGUAACUGACGCUGAUGCUCGAAAGUGUGGGUAUCAAACAGGAUUAGAUACCCUGGUAGUCCACACAGUAAACGAUGAAUACUCGCUGUUGGCGAUAUACAGUCAGCGGCCAAGCGAAAGCAUUAAGUAUUCCACCUGGGGAGUACGCCGGCAACGGUGAAACUCAAAGGAAUUGACGGGGGCCCGCACAAGCGGAGGAACAUGUGGUUUAAUUCGAUGAUACGCGAGGAACCUUACCCGGGCUUAAAUUGCAACUGACGGAACCGGAAACGGUUCUUUCUUCGGACAGUUGUGAAGGUGCUGCAUGGUUGUCGUCAGCUCGUGCCGUGAGGUGUCGGCUUAAGUGCCAUAACGAGCGCAACCCUUACGGGUAGUUACCAUCAGGUUAUGCUGGGGACUCUACCCGGACUGCCGUCGUAAGAUGUGAGGAAGGUGGGGAUGACGUCAAAUCAGCACGGCCCUUACGUCCGGGGCUACACACGUGUUACAAUGGGGGGUACAGAAGGCAGCUACACGGCGACGUGGUGCUAAUCCCAAAAGCCUCUCUCAGUUCGGAUUGGAGUCUGCAACCCGACUCCAUGAAGCUGGAUUCGCUAGUAAUCGCGCAUCAGCCACGGCGCGGUGAAUACGUUCCCGGGCCUUGUACACACCGCCCGUCAAGCCAUGAAAGCCGGGGGUACCUGAAGUACGUAACCGCGAGGAGCGUCCUAGGGUAAAACUGGUGAUUGGGG